CCUACGGGGGGCAGCAGUGGGGAAUAUUGCACAAUGGGGGAAACCCUGAUGCAGCAACGCCGCGUGAAGGAAGACGGUUUUCGGAUUGGAAACUUCUGUUCGUAGGGAAGAAAAAUGACGUUAGCUAAGGAGCAAGCCACGGCUAACUACGUGCCCGCAGCCGCGGUAAUACGGAGGUGGCAAGCGUUGUCCGGAAUUACUGGGGGUAAAGGGGGCGCAGGCGGGAAGCAAAGUCAGCUGUGAAAACUACGGGCUUAAGCUGGAGACUGCAGUUGAAACUGGCUUUCUUGAGUGAAGUAGAGGUUGGCGGAAUGCCGGGUGUAGCGGUGAAAUGCGUAGAUAUUCCGAAGAACUCUGAUGGCGAAGGCGGCCAACCGGG
rnacentral:rRNA from 1 species